CCCAAACUGGGAUUAGAUACCCCACUAUGCCUAGCCUUAAACACAAAUAGUUGUGUAAACAAAACUAUUCGCCAGAGUACUACCGGCAAUAGCUUAAAACUCAAAGGACUUGGCGGUGCUUUACACCCUUCUAGAGGAGCCUGUUCUAUAAUCGAUAAACCCCGAUAAACCUCACCAUUCCUUGCUAAUACAGUCUAUAUACCGCCAUCUUC
rnacentral:rRNA from 1 species